CAUGUGUGUCUGUGUGCAUGUGUGUAUAAAGAAGUGGUGAUCAGACGUUGCUGAUAAGAGAAGCCAGUGGUGCUUCUGGGUGAUGUGUGUAUUCAACUCCAGGCUGACUCCUCUUAUGCUAAUACAGCCAAUUUCCUCUUUUAUUUCAUUUCUGGAGCCUGAAUCUGUGAUCUCUGAUAAGGUUCCCAAGGAUACCGCCUUCACUCACAAAUGGGGUAUUUGUCUACUUGACAUGGGGUAUACUGUCAAGCAGGAGGUUCUCUCAUCUCCCAGAACAGGUAAAACAACUGACAACUUUCACAGCAGGAAACCUUGCCCAAGUGUGUGAUCACAAGCCAAGAUUUGUGAGAGAUCUCUCAGAAAUGGAUAAUGGAUAAUGAAGAACAGCCUGCUGGUUGAAUUUCUGUGUUGUUGUGCUGUUUACAUAAUGCUUCCUGAUUUUGAUGAGGUGCCC
ensembl:lncRNA